rnacentral:rRNA from 1 species
UGGCGGCGCGNCUAAUACAUGCAAGUCGAGCGAGAAGGUGUAGCAAUACACUUGUAAAGCGGCGAACGGGUGAGGAAUACAUGGGUAAUCUACCAUCGAGUGGGGAAUAACCAACCGAAAGGUUGGCUAAUACCGCGUACGCUUCUGAGCCUUCGUGUUCGGAAGGAAAGCCGNACUGUGAGUGCGGCGCUCUUUGAUGAGCUCAUGUCCUAUCAGCUUGUUGGUAGGGUAACGGCCUACCAAGGCUUUGACGGGUAGCUGGUCUGAGAGGACGAUCAGCCACACUGGCACUGCGACACGGGCCAGACUCCUACGGGAGGCAGGAGUAAGGGAUAUUGCGCAAUGGGCGAAAGCCUGACGCAGCGACGCCGCGUGGGGGAUGAAGGUCUUCGGAUUGUAAACCCC